rnacentral:rRNA from 1 species
GACGAACGCUGGCGGCGUGCUUAACACAUGCAAGUCGAACGGUAAGGCCCUUCGGGGUACACGAGUGGCGAACGGGUGAGUAACACGUGGGUGAUCUGCCCUGCACUUCGGGAUAAGCCUGGGAAACUGGGUCUAAUACCGGAUAGGACCACUGCCUGCAUGGGUGGUGGGGGAAAGCUUUUGCGGUGUGGGAUGGGCCCGCGGCCUAUCAGCCUGUUGGUGGGGUGAUGGCCUACCAAGGCGACGGUGGGUAGCCGGCCUGAGAGGGUGACCGGCCACACUGGGACUGAGAUACGGCACAGACUCCUACGGGAGGCAGCAGUGGGGAAUAUUGCACAAUGGGCGCAAGCCUGAUGCAGCGACGCCGCGUGAGGGAUGACGGCCUUCGGGUUGUAAACCUCUUUCAGCACCGACGAAGCGCAAGUGACGGUAGGUGCAGAAGAAGGACCGGCCAACUACGUGCCAGCCGCCGCGGUAA